GAUGAAGAACGUAGCGAAAUGCGAUAAGUAAUGCGAAUUGCAGAAUUUCCGUGAGUCAUCGAAUCUUUGAACGCACAUUGCGCCCCCUGGCAUUCCGGGGGGCAUGCCUGUUCGAGCGUCAUUUCACCACUCAAGCCUCGCUUGGUAUUGGGCAACGCGGUCCGCCGCGUGCCUCAAAUCGACCGGCUGGGUCUUCUGUCCCCUAAGCGUUGUGGAAACUAUUCGCUAAAGGGUGUUCGGGAGGCUACGCCGUAAAACAACCCCAUUUCUAAGGUUGACCUCGGAUCAGGUAGGGAUACCCGCUGAACUUAAGCAUAUCAAUAAGCGGAGGA
rnacentral:misc_RNA from 1 species